GUCGUGAGAUGUUGGUUAAGUCCCGCAACGAGCGCAACCCCUAUUGUUAGUUGCCAUCAUUCAGUUGGGCACUCUAGCGAGACUGCCGGUAAUAAACCGGAGGAAGGUGGGGAUGACGUCAAAUCAUCAUGCCCCUUAUGACCUGGGCUACACACGUGCUACAAUGGUUGGUACAACGAGUUGCGAGUCGGUGACGGCGAGCUAAUCUCUUAAAGCCAAUCUCAGUUCGGAUUGUAGGCUGCAACUCGCCUACAUGAAGUCGGAAUCGCUAGUAAUCGCGGAUCAGCACGCCGCGGUGAAUACGUUCCCGGGCCUU
rnacentral:rRNA from 1 species